CUUGGUUGUAAGAAACUGCGUCAGAGUGAGUGGUCUUUUCUUUGGUCUCGAGAAACCGCAUCGUAGUGAGCGCUCAGUGCGUUAGCAGCAGCUAUGUAACCAGCGCGGUUGUUCUCCUCAUUACAUGCUCAGGAGAGCUGAGGCACGCACAGACAGAUAAGCAGACUGUUAAAAUCAUAUUGUCAAAGGUUACAAACGCUUUUGCCUUGGAGAAUAUUUGUCUUUUUACGGUGAUGUUGGAAAAAAGAAGACUUCAUUAAAGGACAAGAAAAGUCAA